rnacentral:rRNA from 1 species
CCUACGGGUGGCUGCAGUGGGGAAUAUUGGACAAUGGGGGCAACCCUGAUCCAGCCAUGCCGCGUGUGUGAAGAAGGCCCUCGGGUUGUAAAGCACUUUCAGUGAGGAAGAACGCCUGGUGGUUAAUACCCAUCAGGAAAGACAUCACUCACAGAAGAAGCACCGGCUAACUCCGUGCCAGCAGCCGCGGUAAUACGGAGGGUGCGAGCGUUAAUCGGAAUUACUGGGCGUAAAGCGCGCGUAGGUGGCUUGAUAAGCCGGUUGUGAAAGCCCCGGGCUCAACCUGGGAACGGCAUCCGGAACUGUCAAGCUAGAGUGCAGGAGAGGAAGGUAGAAUUCCCGGUGUAGCGGUGAAAUGCGUAGAGAUCGGGAGGAAUACCAGUGGCGAAGGCGGCCUUCUGGACUGACACUGACACCGAGGUGCGAAAGCGUGGGUAGCAAACAGGAUUAGAUACCCGAGUAGUC